AGCGAACGCUGGCGGCAGGCCUAACACAUGCAAGUCGAACGAACCUUUCGGGGUUAGUGGCGGACGGGUGAGUAACACGUGGGAACGUGCCUUUAGGUUCGGAAUAACUCAGGGAAACUUGUGCUAAUACCGAAUGUGCCCUUCGGGGGAAAGAUUAAUCGCCUUUAGAGCGGCCCGCGUCUGAUUAGCUAGUUGGUUGAGGUAAUGGCUCACCAAGGCGACGAUCAGUAGCUGGUCUGAGAGGAUGAUCAGCCACAUUGGGACUGAGACACGGCCCAAACCCCACCGGAGGCCAGCAGUGGGAAAUUUUGCGAAUGGGCCGAAGGCCUGACGCGCCCAGGCGGGUUAAUUGAGGAGGGUCUUAGAUUGGUAAAAUCCUUUCCCCGGGAACAUUAUGACCGUAACCGGAGAAGAAGCCCCGGCUAACUUCGUG
rnacentral:rRNA from 1 species